UACGAAGGGAGCUAGCGUUGUUCGGAAUCACUGGGCGUAAAGCGCACGUAGGCGGAUGUGUCAGUCAGGGGUGAAAUCCCGGGGCUCAACCUCGGAACUGCCUUUGAUACAGCACGUCUUGAGUCCGAUAGAGGUGGGUGGAAUUCCUAGUGUAGAGGUGAAAUUCGUAGAUAUUCGGAAGAACACCAGUGGCGAAGGCGACUCACUGGCCCGAUACUGACGCUGAGGCGCGAAAGCGUGGGGAGCAAACAGG
rnacentral:rRNA from 1 species